rnacentral:rRNA from 1 species
AUGCAACACCCUGUGGCUAAACAAUAUACCUACAUAGAAUUUCCUGAAUAUUUUACAUGGCACUCCAACUCAAAUGGCAAAUACUGGGAUUAUCGUCAUGGUUCUAGAAGAAUUGGCAGAAUUGCUUAUGUCAACCCUUCCCAAGGGGACCUUCACUAUCUACGUUUGUUGCUCAACAUUGUCAAAGGUCCAACCUCCUUCCCUCAAAUCAGAACUAUAAAUGGCCAUGAAUAUCCUACAUUUUGUGCUGCAUGUGAGACUUUAGGUCUCCUUGGUGAUGAUGAAGAAUGUUCCAAUGCCUUAAAAGAUGCCGCUCAAUGGGCCAUGCCUUACCAGUUACGCCAACUGUUUGUCACAGUUUUGCUCUUUUGUGAGGUAACAAAUCCUAGAAAACUUUUUGAUGACCACGCAUUAAAAAUGUUUGAAGAUGCAACCCAUCAAUUGAGUCAGAACCAUGGUCAAGCUAGCAAUCCCUUGGCCGAUAUAUAUAUAUUUCAUCUUAUCAUUUGA